UUUUUUCUACUUAUUUUCAUAAAAAAAAAUUGCAAAAAAUAUAAUAAAAAAGAAUGUAAAAAUGCAAAAGUAAAAGAAAUACAAGGAGGGGAAAGAAUGAUAAACUCACCUCCUAAGCGGAGUUUGGCUUCGAACGAUCGUUGGAGUGAAGAAGAUGAUUGCAAUGAAGCAAUGAAACCCUUAGAAUCGGGGCUGGUUUAUAUGAAUGCACAACUUUCUUGGGCUUGGAAUCAUGAUGUUUGGAAUGGCACAUGAAGAAAAGCCAAGGUUACUUACAAGUGAAGUUAUUUGGCCAUGAAGUUGAAAGAAGAUGCAAGCAUGAGGAAACCAAAUGGAAAAAUUAGGCAUUAGGUUGAUGGUUAGAUGAGUUGACUUUGGUCAACUGGUUGACCAAAAAGUCAACCAUUGACCAAAGUCAUAUGUAGGUCAAAAAUCAAUUUUUGUGUAAUUUUGUAUGUAUUCUUGUAUCAACAUUGUAACAUGAUUUUAUAUGAAUGAAAUGCAAUCCUUUUUUAGA